CCUCUCAAGCCUGGCUUGUUGUUGGACUUCAGGUCCGGGCUCGCCCCGACCGGUCCCAAAAGUAAUGACGGCGUCCGUGGGACUCUCGGUGCAACGAGCUUUCUUAAGCACGCACAGAGUCGAAAGGUCCCCCGGCACGGUCUUUUAACCAUUUUUCUAAGGUUGACCUCGGAUCAGGUAGGAAUACCCGCUGAACUUAA
rnacentral:misc_RNA from 1 species